rnacentral:rRNA from 1 species
AGAGUUUGAUCCUGGCUCAGAUUGAACGCUGGCGGAAUGCUUUACACAUGCAAGUCGAACGGUAACAGGUCUUCGGAUGCUGACGAGUGGCGAACGGGUGAGUAAUAUAUCGGAACGUGCCCAGUCGUGGGGGAUAACGUAGCGAAAGUUACGCUAAUACCGCAUACGAUCUACGGAUGAAAGCGGGGGAUCGCAAGACCUCGCGCGAUUGGAGCGGCCGAUAUCAGAUUAGGUAGUUGGUGGGGUAAAGGCUCACCAAGCCAACGAUCUGUAGCUGGUCUGAGAGGACGACCAGCCACACUGGAACUGAGACACGGUCCAGACUCCUACGGGAGGCAGCAGUGGGGAAUUUUGGACAAUGGGCGCAAGCCUGAUCCAGCCAUUCCGCGUGCAGGACGAAGGCCUUCGGGUUGUAAACUGCUUUUGUACAGAACGAAAAGCUCUGGGUUAAUACCCUGGGGUCAUGACGGUACUGUAAGAAUAAGCACCGGCCAACUACGUACCGGCAGCCGCGGUAAU